rnacentral:rRNA from 1 species
GACGAACGCUGGCGGCGUGCCUAAUACAUGCAAGUCGAACGCAGUGGGGACGGGUGAGUAACACGUGGGUAACCUCCCAUCAGAGGGGAUAACCCUUGGAAACAGGUGCUAACACGAUACUGAUGGAUGGACCCGCGGUGCAUUAUCUAGUGGGGGAGGUAACGGCUCACCAAGGCCACGAUGCUUAGCCGACCUGAGAGGUUGAUCGGCAACACUGGGACUGAGACACGGCCCAGACUACGACGGGAGGCAGCAGUAGGGAAUCUUCGGCAAUGGACGAAAGUCUGACCGAGCAACGCCGCGUGAGUGAAGAAGGUUUUCGGAUCGUAAAACUCUGUUGUUAGAGAAGCGGUAUCUAACCAGAAAGCAACGGCUAACUCCGUGCCAGCAGCCGCGGUAAUUC